rnacentral:rRNA from 1 species
UACAGAGGGUGCGAGCGUUAAUCGGAAUUACUGGGCGUAAAGCGCACGUAGGUGGCUACGUAAGUCGGGUGUGAAAGCCCCGGGCUCAACCUGGGAAUUGCAUUCGAGACUGCAUUGCUGGAGUACGGAAGAGGAGGGCGGAAUUCCCGGUGUAGCGGUGAAAUGCGUAGAUAUCGGGAGGAACAUCAGUGGCGAAGGCGGCCCUCUGGUCCAGUACUGACACUCAAGUGCGAAAGCGUGGGGAGCAAACAGG